UACGAGGGGGCGAGCGUUGUUCGGAAUUAUUGGGCGUAAAGGGUGCGUAGGCGGUUCCGCAAGUCCUGUGUGGAAAUCUUCGGGCUCAACUCGAAGUCUGCACGGGAAACUGCGGGGCUUGAGUGUGGGAGAGGUGAGUGGAAUUCCCGGUGUAGCGGUGAAAUGCGCAGAUAUCAGGAGGAACACCGAUGGCGAAGGCAGGUCUCUGGGCCACUGACUGACGUGAGAAGCGAAAGCGUGGGGAGCGAACAGG
rnacentral:rRNA from 1 species